AGCUUGUAGGAAUUAGUUAUUAGUAUACUGCAAAAUACAAAAUAUGCACUAGCAGAAUAAAAAUGACUGCAGCAUAGACAGAGAUUUCAAGUGGAAAUGCUCACCUACCAGAUCAGCGCAGCCAAGCUUAAACGUGAUGGACUCACAGAGUUACAUUGAUUCUCCAUGUUGCUCAGCCUUCUAUUGGAAAGAGGAGUCUAUUUAAAUCUCUAGGGAAUGAAAUCUAAACACUCUCUCCAUGCAGGGCUCUGUCUCAUUGCAUUUCUCUCUCCGGUUAAAAUCAUCCAUUGAUCGCUAAUCACCUGUGGUUGUUUACAUACAACAAGUUCCCUGGAUAGAGGAGAACCAGGAGGGAGAUUAUACGUGCCCCAGGAAGCAAUCAAUGAAAAGCCUCAGGACGAUCUUUCUGAGAGGAAAUGGAAAGUUUCCCUUUGUGACCAUCAUACAUGUGUGCUGAGACUGUCAGAACAGACAUGGGGGGUUCUAGCUGGCAGGAAAAUGUUUUCAAAAUUGGGUUUUAUAUUUGCCUUUCUUGUAUUUUGCGCAAUGAUAUUAGAAGUAAAAAUCAAUUGGAAUACCUUUUAAUAGAAAAUUCAUUUUUACCCGAAUGGUCAUGAAAUAUCUUUUCCUAGUUAUAUUUAGAAUAUUACUAUUUGUUGUUUUCAUCUCUGUUGUUUGUAGCACCCCCACUAAGAGUCCAUUUCUGUCAUUAAAACAACAAAACAAAACUCUGACUGAUAGUGAGCUUAGGAUUUUACAAGAGUAAUUAAGAGUACCUUCAAUUUACAAGUAAUGACUUCAUGUUAAACAAAACAGUUUUGCUAAUAAGAAGUUAAAGUGCAUCAAAAAGUUAUGUAGGAACAGAAUAUAAAGAAGUGCUUUAUUUGAAACCCGUCUUUAAAGCUGCUCAUAGUCUGAUACUUGCUUCUCCAAGCUUCCUAUCGUAAAGGCCAUAGUACUUCUGCUUUCAAUUGGAGAAGCUAGAGUUCAUUCAGUCAGGGAACAUGAAAUGAUUCUUCUUCAAAUUUGCCUCAAAUAUGCCAGUGUUUCUAUAAAUGGGCAUAUGUGAUGCCUCUCUUUACAAAUCUGAGCAAACUAAACAUCAGAAUGAAGUUAGUUGUCAGUCUCUCCUCCAAGAAGAAGGAGCCUAACCAAUUGAAGACGACCUCAACAGGUGGGCACGAUAGCUCUUCAAAGACUCUGGGCCCUGCCCAUAAUUUGUUUAUUAUUUCUGUAUUUCAUAAGGUUACAUUAUAACCUCUCCAGGAGUCAUUUGGUAGUGACAUGAAUCUCAUGAGCAGAUUAAGAUGGUGAACCAAAGGCAGACAACUGUAUCUCGCUAGAGAUGAUGGUAAAUGCCAACUUAAAUCCUAUUAUGUGGGCAGAGACUAGGAACUACUUAAUAAUCUACAUUUAUUCUCGCUCAUUCUAAAACUUCACGAUUCUGAAACAUUUUUAAGAAUUUAAAAACUUCAGCAUUUUAAAUGAAGUAAAUAAGCUUUGGGAUAGCUCCCAGAAGUUAAGUAUAAGGGAGAAACAGGUGGAAGUUGUCUAAUUUUAUAAGCGUGUGUGGCUGACUGGCAGCGGAUGUCAGUGUCUGCAUGCCAGACACUGUGCUUGCCGCUCCAAUUAUCCAAAGAUCACAGUAUGGAAUCAUAAUGCACUCCCUCAACUAUUCAGGCCUUCCAGAACACUGCCUGAAAUUAAAUCUUCUGCUUGGGCCUGGCUUAUGAAAAAUUGAAUGGCAGUUCAUUUUCAGAACACAUGACAAACAUAAAAGAAAUUAUGAAUUAAUUUUAAACCCUGUUUAGCGGAGUCUUAUCAAAUUGAUGGCUCCCCUUGUCUCAUUGAAGUCAGCCAUUAGGGUUGAUAUGCUUAAUUACAAUUAGGAAUCUCUAAAUGGUUUUGACUGACAGCUCAGAUCAACCUGUUGGACCCUCCAAUGGUUUGAAGUCUAAAACAAACC
rnacentral:lncRNA from 1 species